GACGAACGCUGGCGGCGUGCCUAAUACAUGCAAGUAGAACGCUGAAGGAGGAGCUUGCUUCUCUGGAUGAGUUGCGAACGGGUGAGUAACGCGUAGGUAACCUGCCUGGUAGCGGGGGAUAACUAUUGGAAACGAUAGCUAAUACCGCAUAAUAGCAGUUAUUGCAUGAUAACUGUUUGAAAGGUGCAAUUGCACCACUACCAGAUGGACCUGCGUUGUAUUAGCUAGUUGGUGGGGUAACGGCUCACCAAGGCGACGAUACAUAGCCGACCUGAGAGGGUGAUCGGCCACACUGGGACUGAGACACGGCCCAGACUCCUACGGGAGGCAGCAGUAGGGAAUCUUCGGCAAUGGACGGAAGUCUGACCGAGCAACGCCGCGUGAGUGAAGAAGGUUUUCGGAUCGUAAAGCUCUGUUGUAAGAGAAGAACGAGUGUGAGAGNGGAAAGUUCACACNGNGACG
rnacentral:rRNA from 1 species